GGGUAGGUUCCCGAGUGGCCAAAGGGAGCAGACUGUAAAUCUGCCGCUAUCAGCUUCGGUGGUUCGAAUCCACCCCUGCCCACCA
rnacentral:tRNA from 1 species